CAAUAGCGUAUAUUAAAGUUGUUGCGGUUAAAAAGCUCGUAGUUGGAUUUCUGUUGGGAACGACCGGUCCGCCCAUUGGGUGUGUAUCUGGCUUGUUCUCGGCAUCUUCUUGGUGAACGUUGCUGCACUUGACUGUGUGGAGCGCUACCCAGGACUUUUACUUUGAGGAAAUUAGAGUGUUUCAAGCAGGCAUAUGCCUUGAAUACAUUAGCAUGGAAUAAUAAGAUAGGACCUCGGUUCUAUUUUGUUGGUUUCUAGAGCUGAGGUAAUGAUUAAUAGGGAUAGUUGGGGGUGCUGCUAUUCAACGGCCAGAGGUGAAAUUCUUGGAUUCGUUGAGGAGCAACUACUGCGAAAGCAUUCACCAAGGAUGUCUCCUUUAA
rnacentral:rRNA from 1 species